rnacentral:rRNA from 1 species
CAAUAGCGUAUAUUAAAGUUGUUGCGGUUAAAAAGCUCGUAGUUGGAUUUCUGCUGAGAACGACCGGUCCGCCCUUUGGGUGUGUAUCUGGCUCUUUCUUGGCAUCUUCUUGGUGAACGUUGCUGCACUUGACUGUGUGGAGCGCUACCCAGGACUUUUACUUUGAGGAAAUUAGAGUGUUUCAAGCAGGCAUACGCCUUGAAUACAUUAGCAUGGAAUAAUAAGAUAGGACCUCGGUUCUAUUUUGUUGGUUUCUAGAGCUGGGGUAAUGAUUAAUAGGGAUAGUUGGGGGCAUUCGUAUUUAACUGUCAGAGGUGAAAUUCUUGGAUUUGUUAAAGACGGACUACUGCGAAANCANNNGCCAAGGAUGUUUUCAUNGA